rnacentral:lncRNA from 1 species
GCCUUUGGCUUCAGAGGACACAGCUUUCCCUUCUCCUUCCUAUCCCCACUCUCUGAGCCCCUCUUGGAUACCUGGUGUGCUGAGUGCUGGGGACCCAGGAGAGUGUGCUGCCAAGAGGGGACACAGGUACCUGCUGAGUCUUCCCAAGUCGUCACCACAGGCUCGGCCAGGCCAGCAUGGUGGACCACUUGCUUCCAGUGGACGAGACCUUCUCGUCACCGAAAUGCCCAGUGGGAUACCUGGGAGAUAGGCUGGCCAGCCGGCAGCCAUACCACAUGUUGCCCUCGCCCAUCUCCGAGGAUGACAGCGAUGUCUCCAGCCCCUGCUCUUGUGCCAGCCCUGACUCGCAAGCCUUCUGUUCCUGCUAUAGUGCAGGUCCGGGCCCUGAGGCCCAGGGCAGCAUCUUGGAUUUCCUCCUAUCCCGGGCCACACUGGGCAGUGGUGGUGCCAGUGGAGGUGUCGGAGAUGGCAGUGGCCCUGUGACCUGGGGAUCGUGGAGGAGAGCCUCUGUGCCUGUGAAGGAGGAACAUCUUUGCUUCCCUGAAUUUCUGUCAGGGGACCCUGAUGAUGUCUCCAGGCCCUUCCAGCCUACCCUGGAGGAGAUUGAAGAAUUCUUGGAAGAGAACAUGGAGGCUGAGGUCAAGGAGGCCCCAGAGAGCAGCAGCAGG